rnacentral:rRNA from 1 species
AAAAGGGCGUGAAACCGCUUAGAAUAAAACGGACGGAGCCGUCUGUGACCCAUCGGAAUCAGUCGAUGCGAUGCGUGAAGGCGAGUAUGACAUAAAACGGAACGAAAGUCCGGUCGUCUCGUAAACAGUAGCGUUCGUUCGAUGCAUUUCCGAAGGGUAAGCACCGCGACCGAUGUCAAAGGCUAGCGAAGCCGUUGGAUUGAGGUCGAGCUCGUUUCUCGAGUCUCGUUACCAGUCCUUCGGUAUGAAUAGAAUUCGCUGGACCCUAGCAUCGAGAAUAAAAGCGAAUGUCGGUGAACUAUACGCUCAUCUGUUACGGUGGACGUGCGGCCGUUCGAUCGUCGCCUGCUCGCAGGUUAUGGUUUGAAUCAGGUUCGUAUCCGAAGUCGUCGGUGACGUUUCGACAUUCAGGCAUCCGCGGUGUCCGAGUCGGUCACCCGUCCGACCCGUCUUGAAACACGGACCAAGGAGUCUAACGUAAGCGCGAGCUAAUGGGUGGAAAACCUAUAAGCGAAAUAAAAGUAAAAGCCGUUUCGGACGGCCGAGGUACGAUCCCGAAGAACGAAGUAUCUUCGGGCGCAGUACCGUCCCGUCCCGACCGCUUGUCGGUAGGGCGGAGAUAGAGUGCAUACGUUGGGACCCGAAAGAUGGUGAACUAUGCCUGAGCAGAGCGAAGCCAGAGGAAACUCUGGUGGAGGUUCGUAGCGGUUCUGACGUGCAAAUCGAUCGUCAGACUUGGG